rnacentral:lncRNA from 1 species
GAAAUUGGAUCCAAUUGGCUCUUCGAACUAGGCUCACCUGUCGUGUGAAUUGGUCCUUUCUCUUCCUGUUGACUCCCGUUAUUGGAAUCGAAUGGAGCAUUUCAGUAUGUCUCGACUGACUGUAACGGGGUGACUGAACUUGGCCACUCAUUAUUGCAUUGGAGUUGGUCGUUGCUCCUAAUAUUUGAGGUAACUCAACAUUAAAAAAAGUCCCCUUUCUUUAUAUUUUCACGAUAUACUCGUAUUAGAACACGAU